UACGGAGGGUGCAAGCGUUAAUCGGAAUUACUGGGCGUAAAGCGUGCGCAGGCGGUUAUGCAAGACAGAUGUGAAAUCCCCCGGGCUCAACCUGGGAACUGCAUUUGUGACUGCAUGACUAGAGUACGGCAGAGGGGGAUGGAAUUCCGCGUGUAGCAGUGAAAUGCGUAGAUAUGCGGAGGAACACCGAUGGCGAAGGCAGCUACUACGCAUAUAUUGACGCUGAGCACGAAAGCGUGGGGAUCAAACAGGA
rnacentral:rRNA from 1 species